GUGAGGGACAUGUGAAAGAAACCAUUUGAAACGGUGUGGUGCACAUGACGCUGGUUCACGAAAUGAGAAGCCACUCCUACGCUUGCACGAAACCAUUACCAAAACCAAUUUGUCGUUGCAGAUCGAAAAUCUUUCAUCCUACCUGUAUAAAAGCCGCACGAAAUCCUUCUCCCAUGGUGUCUCAUCCCACCUGCACGAAAGUCAUUGAUCGCACAAUAUCCUUCGUCCCACAAUGCUUCACCAAAUCGCAACAGAACCAACCCACGGUGAUUGACGGAAAACCCUUCGUUGUUCGUUGGAAGUGGAAAGCAUUAAAGUUGCAGUUUUUAGGUCCUUGGUAACUGUUUCUUGAUAUAUGGAUAUGGAACAAGGUAAUAGCUCCAUUGAAAAUAAGAUACAGAUACAUUUUAGGCAUUCUUGUGGAACAAAAUAUGUUGCAUCUAUUAACAACUAGUUAAUAGCAGAGAAGUUAUUUAUUCAAGGGACCUGUUUCGGAUGGUUAACAAUGUUGAAGGAGUCUACGAAAUUGUCUAGAAACCUUAUUAGUAAAUUAUGUUCUAAGUGGGAUGAAAAGAGUGAAUGUUUUCAAAUUGAAUUAGGCACGAGAAAGAAAGAGAUGUCGUGAACCACAAUCACGAGCUUUUGAAUUUUCAAUUAAAUGACCAUCAUUGCUUCACUUUUCCAAUCA